rnacentral:rRNA from 1 species
UUGUUGCCAGCGGUUAGGCCGGGAACUCAAAGGAGACUGCCAGUGAUAAACUGGAGGAAGGUGGGGAUGACGUCAAGUCAUCAUGGCCCUUACGACCAGGGCUACACACGUGCUACAAUGGCGCAUACAAAGAGAAGCGACCUCGCGAGAGCAAGCGGACCUCAUAAAGUGCGUCGUAGUCCGGAUUGGAGUCUGCAACUCGACUCCAUGAAGUCGGAAUCGCUAGUAAUCGUGGAUCAGAAUGCCACGGUGAAUACGUUCCCGGGCCUUGUACACACCGCCCGUCACACCAUGGGAGUGGGUUGCAAAAGAAGU